UACGAAGGGGGCUAGCGUUGCUCGGAAUCACUGGGCGUAAAGCGCACGUAGGCGGCUUUUUAAGUCAGGGGUGAAAUCCCGGGGCUCAACCUCGGAACUGCCUUUGAUACUGUUGGUCUUGAGUCCGGAAGAGGUGAGUGGAAUUCCUAGUGUAGAGGUGAAAUUCGUAGAUAUUAGGAAGAACACCGGUGGCGAAGGCGGCUCACUGGUCCGGUACUGACACUGAGGUGCGAAAGCGUGGGGAGCAAACAGGG
rnacentral:rRNA from 1 species